AAAAAAAAAAAGAUCCGAAACCCCUGACCUGCGCGCCUGUCCAUCCCAGCAUGGCCGCCGCCUCGUCCUCCUCCUGCGGCGGCGCCGGCUGCGGGGCCCACUGCUCCUCCUCCACCUCGUCAUCCGUAGAGGAUGCUCCGGAGGGGAUUCUGGACCGUCUCUCCAUAUCCGGUGCCGCUGCCUCCUGCGGCAAGUGCGGCGGCGGCGCCGUCGUCGUGGUUGCCGGAGGCGUCGGUCUGUGCGGCGAGUGCUUGCGCGCCCAGCUGUUCGGGAAGUUCAAGCUCGCCGUCACAAGCAACGCCAUGGUUCGGCCAACCGACUCCGUCCUCGUCGCCUUCUCCGGCGGCCCCGCCUCCAGGGUGGCUCUGCAAUUCAUACAUGAGAUGCGGUCCAAGGCAAUCGAAAGCUGGGACGCCAGCAAUUCGCAAGCCCUACCGGUCUUCAAUGUUGGGGUGGCCUUUGUCAACGAGAGUGCUUUGUUGUCAAAGACCGAAUGUGAAGUUGAGCAGGCAACUGAAGAUAUAAAGUCAAUUGUGUCGAGUUUGUUACCGGGAGAUAAAGCAAUGCACCUUGCCUCUCUUGAUGAUGUGUUCUCCUCGGAAUCAAAAGAUGGGGAAAGCAGGCUGAGGGAGCUAGUUGGCAUGAUUGCUGAUGAUACUGGGAGGGAGGAUCUUCUUCAGUGCUUGCGCAUGCUUUCGUUGCAGAAGAUUGCACUGGAAAAUGGGUACACCAAGAUCAUGCUGGGAUCAUGUGCUUCUACAAUAGCAUGUCAUGUGCUAUCUGCAACAGUAAAGGGCCAAGGUUAUUCCUUACCAGCUGAUAUCCAAUAUGUUGAUACACGGUGGGAAGUGCCUGUCGUUCUUCCACUUCGUGAUUGCCUGGCCCAAGAGCUUAGACUGCUCUGUGAAUUUGAUAGUUUAAAGACACAGCAACUUCUUGAUAGGCCUUGCAGUGGCAUCAAUGGCUUAGUCGCAUCUUUUGUUGCACGACUAAGGGAGGAGAAUCCUUCUCGUGAGCAUACUAUUGUAAGAACUGCACAAAAACUUAAGCCAUUCCCUUUUAACAAGUUCUCAGCAAAUGGCUAUCAUGAUUUCCUGCCGUCGCGGCUGCGUCCCAAGUUCCAGGAUGUUGACAACGAUGAGUCUGCUUUCUCUGAGCUUCUCUGCCUGAUAUGUCGAAGUCCAUUCAGUGAAUCAGAACUCCAGAAUUUGGAAAGCACAAGGCACAAGUCUCAGAAGAAAAUUGAUCUAUAUACUGCUUAUUGCUGUCAAAGCUGUCAUUUCCAGAUUCUACCUGGUGGUAGAGACCUGUAUGACCAUUUCUUUUCACUACUACCAAGGUUCUGGACUGAGAGAGUAGAUACUGCAUCUGCCAGCCAUAGCUCGCUAAGAGAUCAAAUAGAAGACUAUCUUCUUGAAGACGAUGAUGAUGGGAACUGACACUUGUUCAUUGAGUGAAUCCCAAACUUACUUGCCAGAAGCCUGCAGAGAUUCCUUCCUAGUUGGGCCUCACAAAUCAUGACAUAAACCAAACUUGCUUGGGAUAACAGUGUUCGCAUCUAUAUUAGCAGGAUGUUGACUGAGUCAGGAACCAGUGAAAAUUUCCGCAAAGGACCGGAAGUUAUGUUACUCCCUCCGAUCCGGAUCGGACAUUGUAUAGAGGCUGCGUCAUUUAAUUCGGAUCGGAGGGAGUACAUGAUUUCAUUCCAGUGAAGUGUGAGAGGACAAUCGUAUAGCGUGGGUGGUGGCACAACAUCUGUCCUGAGCCAUCCAAUCACUGUCCUUUGAAGCAUUCUUGUCCAUUGACAAUGCGGUGGUACUACUAUGUGUACUACAAACAGGAGAGGCUUUCUCCUUGGGUGAUUCAGAAGCCAUUGUUUGUUGUUUGGACAGCAAGGGCGACCCCCCAAAUAGGCCUAAAAUGAAAAAGACCUGCUGGCCGGCUGGCUCGCAAUCCAUAAUGGCGCGUCCAAGAGAAACCCUCGGCGCAAAGGCAGCAAGGACGGGCCUGUACCGUGUACAACGCUUGUCCAUGGCAGAGGUUGUUGGACGCGAGGGCCGGGCGGGCUUGUACAGCCUUCAAUGCAGCGUGCCGGCCUGCCAAGGACCGUCCGUCCGUCGGUCACAGUAGGUAGAUCGACACCGCCAAGCCCUCAUUUCAGCCACUGCUGCUGCCCAAACAAGAAAGAAUAAUGCGUUCUUGCAGCUGCAUCUGGAAAAGCUUGGAGUUCAAUCUGGUAUGUGAACGUAUGAUCCAUCUAUCUCUCCAUCGUUUUCAGGCGCGACCUUUUGUCUGGAUCAUCCAUGGGCAGCUACUGAGGUGGUGGUCCAGCGCUCCUUGAUCUUAGUGAGUUGAGGCCAAAUCUUGGCGUCUUCCCUUGUUGUAUAUAUUCAAAUGUGUGGCAAAUGGUAGUAAAUUAAACUGGAUCUAGGUAUGUGCAUGGGGGCGGACGAUGCGUGCAGGACUGGCACUGUUGCGGUGCUCCAAAACAUCGGCCCUUGAAUCGUGCGCUCUUGCUCACGUAGCCUUCAACACGUAUGUUUAUGUCAUUUGUAUAUGUCGUGGCUGUCAAGAUAUACAUGUGGUUAUCUAACUUAUGGAUGCCGACAGUUUGUCAUAGCUUGCGAGCAGAAACACA